rnacentral:lncRNA from 1 species
GGAGAAUAGGAAACCGGGUGGGCCAUAGGUGGAAGUGAUAGUGGGUAGAAGCAAGUCGGGUGAGAAAAGUUUGGUCCGGGGGUUUUAUUUAAACUUUAGGUUUUCUUUUAUUAGAUAAAUAGAUUAAAUAGGGUUUUCACCAUUUAAAUUCCAGGAAAUUCUAGAAGUGCCCAAAAUUAGUGAAACCAAUUUUAUUAGGAUUGUUUUAUUUUCCUUUAUGCAUUAAAAUUCUUAAACCCUAGGAAAAAUAAUAAAAAUUUAGGUAUUUAUUUAAUGCUUUUUUAUCC